AAUGCCACCCAGCCGUCAGCGAAACUCUCCCCCGUCCGCCCUCUCCUCGGGCUCGCGCCGCCGCGCCCGCCUCGCCCGUGCCGCGCCGGCCGGACCCCUACAAGCUGCUACCCUUCCGCUUUCCCGUCGCUCUCGCUGGCCCUUUUUCCUUCCCGGUCGGCUUCCCCUCCGCUCGCCGUCCCCGUCUGCGGGAAUCCAGCUCCAGCUCCUCCUCGCCACAGCUCCAGCUCCAGCUCUAGCGGGAUGUACUUUACUACACAGGGAGGAAAGGAAGAGUGAGAGGUUGCAAGCCUGCUGGUGUGCUUGCGGUUGUGCUCUGCUUCUGCUCUGCUCUGAUCUGCUCCACCAGCCAAGCAGGAUCCGAAGCUCUGGAGACGAACACGGAAGCUACCUGCUAGGCCCCUGGAAAAAAGCAGGCUGCAAGAAGGCUGCCUGAGCAUCCAAACUGAUGUGAUUACUUCUGUAAAAUGAAACUAGCAUUGCCUGAGCAUCCAAACUAAUGCUGUAUUUGCUUGACAAUUGAUUUUAGUUGUACUGUUAAGUUGUACUGUAUUAUUAGUGUUGUGAAAAUAAUCUUGCAGUCCCUUAUGUACUGAACCUGAAAGAUGUGCAACAUGACAAUUAUCAGGUCAACCUGUCAUUCAGAACACAGACAGCUUAUGUACUGAAAUCUGAGUUCCUUUUCAUUCUGGAGGAAAGAAGACAAUUAUCUGGUAUUCUACUGCUUAUCUGUUGCACUUUUUUUAUUUAGGACGUACACCAGACUUGGUUGUUCUGAAAGCACUGUAUUGUAUCAACCAUAAUAAUACAGUAGUAAUUCUGUAAA